AUGUUUGCCUUUUCACUUCCCUGCAAACAGCUAACUCUUUACGUUAAAUUCUCUCUGUUGGAUAAUUUGUGUGGUUUCUCUCUUUCGAGCUGGACUCUGACUGAAGCAGACAUGCCACCUUACGUCUUCCAUGAGAAGGACCGUAGGUUUCUGGCACAGUCCAAGUGUCCAGAGGAUUGUCAACACUCGUAUCAAUGGGCCCGUAGCUCCUGGAUUCCAGGGAGCUUUUCAAAUUGUGUAGAUUUCAAAGCAAUAAGUGGAGGUAAACCAAAGCAGACACAGGCCCUCCAACAAGCUUGUCAAGUUUGUCUCAAUGUGGAGAAGCAAAACCAAACUGACAGAUUCUUAACAAUCUGGACCAAUUUUCAAGAUCUCUCUCUUACAGCCAAAGGAAUUUGAAAUUUACACCAAUCCAAGGUUGUUUUGGAGACUAUUUUUGUGGACCAAAUUUACUCAGAAGUUUUAUGAAAACAGCUACACAUUCACUUCCAACUUGAACUAGUGAAGUGCUUUAAAAUCCUUUAAAUCUGAUAAACAAUGAGAUCCUGCUGUCUAGCCUUGGGAACUAUAUCUAGUCACUAUGACGGAACAUGACGGAGGAUCAUGUCAGAAGAUGAAGGGGACCAAUGAGAGUAUUGGGGACUAAAUGAUUCUCCCGCCAAAAUACCUCAUGUGAUGGUAGAAAUAACUGGAUACAGAUGAAAUCAUGGAAAUGGGACCUACAUGCAUAAGAGCAAGAAGAUAGCCAUUGACAAGCAGCAAGAGGGUCCUCACCAGAAGCUGAAUCUACUAGCACCUUGACCUUGGACUUCCUGGCCUACUGAACGCUGAGAAAUAAAAGUCUUAAGUCUGUGGUA
rnacentral:lncRNA from 1 species